ensembl:lncRNA uncharacterized LOC112987964
AGGCAAAGGGAUGGCCCAAGGGAGGAGAUGGCCCAGGGGAUGUUAUCCAGGGAAAGAGGUUUUCCAGGGCAGGAAAAGUGCUGCCCCUGUCGGUGCCACGAGCACGUGUGGGGUCCCCCUGCCACCGCAGCGCAGCCUGGGGCCAGAGGCUUUGGGAGGCCAGGCCACAUGGCAGACGGGGAGCUGGAAGAGGCUGCCUGCGAUGGCCAGAGCAAGCGACUCGUGACGUGCAACCUGGACACAGAGAAGCAGCCUGGGCUUGUGGGAUCCUGGACAAAGGAGCACUGUGACCASGUGUUGGACUCCAUUGAUGCCCAGCUCAGCCAGUGGCAGGGCCAUGGUGUGCAAGUCAUGGGCAGCAGCAAAGACCAUGACAUCUCUUCUGACACUUCCCUCAAUGUCUCUUYGCUGGCUGAACCGGAAGAACACCCUACGGCCAAGGCUGAAUACCUCCAGGGUGAAGCCAGUCAAAGCAGCUCCAGCUCUGUCUGCACGGAGGACUUUGCUGCCAGGUUUCAGGAGGGUAUGGUUGAGCCUCUGGUGUUCUCCGAGGAUGAGGAAGACGAGCCCUUCUCAGUGGGGAGCAGGCAUGCCAGGGAUGUCCCAGCAGAAGGCAAUGGCAUCUCUUGCCCUGCUGAGGAUCAUGAUGCUGGGCAGGAUGAGUCCUUGCUCUCUACAGGGAGAAGACAGGAUGUCCCAUGGCAGUCGGAGGUGGAGCUGGGCUGUCCAUUGCAGAGCACAUCUCCAUCUCUGACGAGAAGGCAAAGCCUGGAGUCUCUGGGAGGGAGGAUAUCCAGACUGAGCCAGAGCAAUGCUGUGACUGCAGGGAUGGAGCCAGACAGCUUCCCAGCGUGGUGGGCUCCCAUGCCAGCCCCCUCUGAGCAGGGAUGGACUCUGCAUGGAGCUAAUGUGAGAGAGUGUUCAACAAGGAGACGUGCAGGAGUCCCUGUGCCUCGAGCCUCGGUCUCUGCAGACAGCAGUUUGCCAGGGGAUGGUGGUGCUGGGACCAGAUGGCAUCACAUGAGCAGGCCUGUGGGGUCAAGACAGCAGGAGCCACCAGCUCUCCGGAGACAGUCUGAAGGGGACAUUGCCCUUGCUGUGGCUGACAUGGACAUGGAAGAAGCUGGUGACAAGCUGAGGAGAGCUCAGUCCUGGGCCCAUUGUACCAAUACAGCAGCAAGACUCCCCAGGGUGUGCAGCGACGACUCCUUUGGGGACCGGGGCCCCAUGGACACCUACAAAGAGCCAUCGUCCUGUGGGGGCAGCCGCUGGAGGAGCAGCAGUGCGGAGAGGUGGACCUGGAGCCCAGGCAAAGUGGCCAAGCCCUGGUGGGAACAUGGGAGGCUGAAAGCCAGCCUAGACCAGAAGCACACAGGCAAGGAGCCAGCGUCACUGUGUUGGUCUCUGCAGAGGAACUGGAAGGGGGUUCAAGAGCUGGGGUCCUGUGCAAAGAAGAUGCAGAGCAAAGGAGACAAAGCCAGGACUGGCCCAGCACUCCUGGAACACACAGAUGAUGCCUGCUGGCAGGAGCUGAUGGAGCUGGAGAAGGAGGUCCAGAGCCGGCUCCUGGAAGACAGACUUUGGGAGCAGAAAAGAAGGGAAUUAUCCAGUCUCAGCAGGGGCUUCUGGGGGAGCAGAGCCAGGGAGCCUGUGCAGACUGCCAGGAGGGGCUGGAGAAGCAGCUAUGGAAAAUGUCAGCUUUACAGGAAGAGAAACUGGCAUUACAGAAGAGACUCCAUGAGCUGGAGCAUCGUACCCGCUCCCUCCUGCAGCAGCGGCAGGAAGCCCUGGAUGAGCUGCACAUGUUGCUGCAGAAGGAGAAGAUGGACAUGCUUCGGCAGCUCCAGGAAGCCCUGGAGCAGGAACGGGCUCGCUACAGCACCUGGCUGCGAGUGCGUCUGCAGCGUCUGGAGCAGCAGCACCUUCUGUGGGCUCCACAUAGGGAAACUUCCUUGCAGAAGCCAGUGGUGCCAGGCCAGGCUGGGCGCUCCCUGGCAAGGCCUAUCAGCUUGGCAUGCCAGCRCCUCCAUGACUUUCUUCCUGACAACUCCAUGGGGCAGAACCCUUCAGCAGCAGUGUGUGGCUCAUCUCCACUCUCCCCCAGCCACGCGCUUGGAGUCCUGCAUGGCCUCAGUGAGGAAAUACAGCAUCACCUCAGAGACAUGCAGAGGGAGAGGGAGGCCGGGAGGUGCUCUGUCCUCCACCUUCAGAGAGAGAAGGAGCAUGAGCUGA